ACAAAGCUGCCCGGAUGGAGGGUUAGAACCGAUAAGAGGUUCGACGUCUGAGCAACGCGAAGACGAACAGCACAAGCUGGCCCCGUAGGGGUGAGGCCCAACGGGCCGAAUAAUCCUCCAUCCCCAGCCA
rnacentral:sRNA from 2 species